rnacentral:lncRNA from 1 species
GGGGAACCCGCUCAGACUCAGACUGCACACGCUCUCCGGGAAGCAUUGCUGGGACAGAAAGGUUCCAGGUACCUGUCUGGAAGAGAAGAAGAACUACGUUCCCCAAGAGUCUUUUCGAGUACUGUUAUCAUUCCUGCUCAAGGGAACAGAUAUAAGGGCACAGGUCAUCUGACUCGGCCCUCUUCUCGUCUCGCUGUGUUCCCUGUUGGAUCGACUCGCUACUGCUGCGCCCGACUGCACGCAAGGCUUCAGUAUUAGCAUUGUUGCUGCUGUUUUUAAUUAUUUUGGGGUCCCCUGUUUCCCUUCCUGG